rnacentral:tRNA from 1 species
GCGGGAGUAACUCAGUGGUAGAGUGCGACCUUGCCAAGGUCGAAGUCGCGAGUUCAAAUCUCGUUUCCCGCU